rnacentral:piRNA from 1 species
UUUGAGCUACUGGAUCCCCAGGGG